UACGAAGGGGGCUAGCGUUGCUCGGAAUCACUGGGCGUAAAGCGCACGUAGGCGGCUUUCUAAGUCAGGGGUGAAAUCCUGGAGCUCAACUCCAGAACUGCCUUUGAUACUGGAAAGCUUGAGUUCGGGAGAGGUGAGUGGAACUGCGAGUGUAGAGGUGAAAUUCGUAGAUAUUCGCAAGAACACCAGUGGCGAAGGCGGCUCACUGGUCCGGUACUGACGCUGAGGUGUGAAAGCGUGGGGAGCAAACAGG
rnacentral:rRNA from 1 species